AGAGUUUGAUCAUGGCUCAGAACGAACGCUGGCGGCAGGCCUCAAACAUGCAAGUCUAGGGGGCGUAGCAAUACGUCACCGGCGGACGGGUGCGUAACACGUGGGAAUAUACCUUUCGGUACGGAACAACUGAGGGAAACUUCAGCUAAUACCGUAUACGUCCUAACGGAGAAAGAUUUAUCGCCGAAGGAUUAGCCCGCGUCCGAUUAGCUAGUUGGUGAGGUAAUGGCUCACCAAGGCAACGAUCGAUAGCUGUUCUGAGAGGAAGAUCAGCCACACUGGGACUGAGACACGGCCCAGACUCCUACGGGAGGCAGCAGUUGGGAAUCUUGGACAAUGGGGGAAACCCUGAUCCAGCCAUGCCGCGUGAGUGAUGAAGGCCUUCGGGUUGUAAAGCUCUUUUACCCGGGAAGAUAAUGACUGUACCGGGAGAAUAAGCUCCGGCUAACUUCGUGCCAGCAGCCGCGGUAAUACGAAGGGGGCUAGCGUUGUUCGGAAUUACUGGGCGUAAAGCGCGCGCAGGCGGUUUCUCAAGUCAGUGGUGAAAGCCCGGAGCUCAACUCCGGAACUGCCAUUGAAACUGUGAAACUUGAGGACGAGAGAGGUGAGUGGAAUUCCCAGUGUAGAGGUGAAAUUCGUAGAUAUUGGGAAGAACACCGGUGGCGAAGGCGGCUCACUGGCUCGUUUCUGACGCUCAGGCGCGACAGCGUGGGGAUCAAACAGGAUUAGAUACCCUAGUAGUCC
rnacentral:rRNA from 1 species